rnacentral:rRNA from 1 species
UACGGAGGGGGCUAGCGUUGUUCGGAAUUACUGGGCGUAAAGCGCGCGUAGGCGGACCUGCAAGUCGGGGGUGAAAGCCCGAGGCUCAACCUCGGAACUGCCUUCGAUACUGCGGGUCUCGAGUCCGGGAGAGGUGAGUGGAAUUCCUAGUGUAGAGGUGAAAUUCGUAGAUAUUCGCAAGAACACCAGUGGCGAAGGCGGCUCACUGGCCCGGUACUGACGCUGAGGUGCGAAAGCGUGGGGAGCGAACGGG